rnacentral:rRNA from 1 species
ACUCCUACGGGAGGCAGCAGUGGGGAAUAUUGCACAAUGGGCGCAAGCCUGAUGCAGCAACGCCGUGUGAGUGAAGAAGGUUUUCGGAUACGUAAAACUCUGUCCUAAGGGAAGAAACAAAUGACGGUACCUUAGGAGGAACGCCCCGGCUAACUACGUGCCAGCAGCCGCGGUAAUACGGUAGGGGCAAGCGUUAUCCGGAAUCACUGGGCGUAAAGGGUGCGUAGGCGGCUUAGCAAGCCAGGGGUGAAAGGCAUUGGCUCAACCAAUGUAAGCCUUUGGAACUGUUAAGCUUGAGUGCAGGAGAGGUAAGUGGAAUUCCUAGUGUAGAGGUGAAAUUCGUAGAUAUUAGGAGGAACACCAGUGGCGAAGGCGACUUACUGGACUGUAACUGACGCUGAUGCACGAAAGCGUGGGUAGCGAACAGGAUUAGAUACCCUGGUAGACUGUCA